GGGGGCGAACUAGAUUCGACGGGGAUAGACGUGGUGUUGGAUAGCGAGCCGAGGUCCUGUGCCUCGUUAAACAGCAGGAACCUUUUAAGUGCCAACGAAGACAACUUCGACUACGCUUUAGCUGCUUAAUUUCAGCUAACGUUCGGUGCCCGGGCUCCUACCCCUGACAUGCGAACGUAAACAAGUAGGAUACGAGGUCCUUCGGUCCCGGGGGAUUUUCGGAAGCAAAGGGACUGGUUCAUCCGUUCCGGGUUGCGGGCGGGAGGGGUGAACGAGAUUAAUCCCGUAACUACGCUCGUAGAAGUCCUUCAUGGCGUGUCUUCGGACGGGACGGGCAGCACGUCCCCGCCUCCACCA
rnacentral:tmRNA from 1 species